rnacentral:rRNA from 1 species
UACAUGAGUGGUGAGCGUUGUUUAUAGUUGUUAGGUGUAAAAAAUCUUAAGAGAGUUAUUUUUUUUAAAUAUGCUUUAUAAAUUGAUAACGUCAGGAUACUUAAAAAUAAUAAAGUUAAUGUUUUCUUUAGAGGUAAAAUUCUAGAAAAAAAGAGCAUUUUUUCAAAAACGAAGGUUACUUUUUUUUUUAAGUUUAAUUUUAGGAUGAAAGUAUAGGGAACGGCGAGGAUUAAAGACCCUUUUAGGCUAUACUGUAAAUUAUGGUAAGUUGCUUAAAGCAUAGCUAACGUAAAACUUACCUACCGGGGGAUAAAAAUCGCAAGAUUGAAACUUAAAAGAAUUGGCGGGACUUUAAAUACGGUGGAACAUGUGAUUUAAUGCGGUAAUCCUCGCAAAACCUCACUAGCAUUGUGAUCAUAAAGUUUUUUUUUAAAAAAAUAAAAUUUAUGUUAAUUAGGUAUUGCAUGGCUGUCGUCAGCUCGUGCUUUAAAGUGUAGCAUUUAGUUGUUAUAACGAGCGUAAUCCUAUUUGUAUUUUUUAAAAUAGAAAGUUGGUUGAAGUCAAGUCUGUAUGGUCUAUUUAUGCUAGGCUACACAUGUGUUACAUAAAAUAAAACAGUAAGAUAAAAAAUAGUGAUAUUUUUUUUUUAAAAAUAUUUAAAUAUGGAUCAAAAAUUGAAAUUCAUUUUUGUGAAAUAGAAAUCGUUAGUAAUCAUAUUUUAGAAUGAUAUGGUGAAGUAAAUUAUAAGUUUGCACACACCGCCCAUCACGCUCGUAGAAUUGAAUUAUCUUAAGCUGUUAAAUGUUUAGUUUGUUUAUAACAAAUUAUACUAAUAACUAGUUAACUUUAGUUUAGUAAUUUGAGUGAAGUUG